CUUGGUGAGUAUUCUGUUUAUUCUGUAAAGAUUCAGAAGUUUAGAAAGGAUGAUACAACAGUGCUUUAUGAUCAAGAGUUUUUCAUAAAAGAUUUAAGUGAUCUUAACACCGUAAGUCCAGAUUCCAUUAGUCUCAAACCAAAAUAUUUUUUGUAACAUUCGACACAAGUGCAUACACUGCUGGUAGGAGAGUGACCUCCAAUUUCACUUUGGAUGGUAUAGCACCGUUCUUAGCUUUUUAGCAGCUCAACAAAGAUGCAGCUUAAUAGGAUUUAUGUAGUGAAUGUAUGUUUUAAAAGAACACAAGAAUAUUCAGAGGAGGGGGAAAAGCACCUCCAAAUUUGGCUCUCUAGCUACCAUGAUAUCUCACUCUGUCAUGUCAAGGGGUCAAAUUGAUUAUUUUUGCAUUUAACAACAUUAUUCAUUUAGUCAGAAACAAUAAUUGAUACAAUUACAGCUUAAACAUUUCCAAGUGUACAGAAAGCAGCACAAGUUAUUAUUUUUCCACAGAUAUAGACCAACAGUGACUAUUGUUGCACGGGCAACUUAUUGUUGCACUGACAAUCUUUUUUUUUUGUUGGAAAGCGCAGCAGCUGAAAAGCUAGGUGAUAGCCAGAAGGUGAAAUAAACACAUGGACAGAGCUGAGUAAGGCAACUUUAGCGUGACAGGCUUCUCUCCACAUUGGGUUUGCAGGGCAGUGUAGUGUAUUGAUUUUCACAAAACUAUCAAUAUGCUCACUCUGGGGCAGUGUGAUUUUAGCAUUGCUGUCUUCUUUUCUUUUUUUAUAGUGCAUUAUAUGGUUAUAGUCUCUUGUGUGUAGCCAACAUUUAUACAGACCUAAAAAAAACAUAUUUUGAUUGCAUCUGGACUUACAGUGAGUAUAGGAUUGAGUAAAUAGAAUUUAACAAACAGAGUAACGGAAACAAGUACAAUUCAAGGCAGUGCUGAAGUACUGGUUGCUAAAAAAAAUAAAGAAGUAAAAAAUAAAAGGUUCACAAAGCUAACAAGAACAUUUCCUUGACACAUCCUUUUUUUCUGUUUGUCCAGUCAGUACAAACCAUCUUUUAUAGUGCAGUUUUAUUCAUAUAUAUAUAUUUAUAUAUAAUUCUCCCUCUGCCCAAAACAUUAUCCGUUGCCAUUCUCCUAUUUUUUUCCUCUCUUUCGGGUCAGUAUGCCAAGUCUAGUGUGCGCGUCUUCUUUCCCUCUUUUGUUUUUUUUCCUUCCGUUAGAUCCGUCGCUCCCCCCGGGCCGAGCUCCGUGUUAAGCCCCCGCCCCCCCCCACCCCACCCCACCCCAACCCCCCCCAACACGACCACAGAGAAGCAUGAAAAGGCGUUAAAACAUUACAGGACUCAAAAAAAGGUGAGAAGUUUCUUUCUUUUGAUGAUGGCAGGAAGUGAUGGCAGGUGGGUGGUGAGAGGGACGGAGGGUGGUGGAGGAGGAGGAGGAGGAGGAGGAAGAGGAAGAGGGGAUAUUCACAGUUACAGUCAGAAUCCAACGGUCCAGCUACAAUCACUUCUGCUGUCAUGAUGAUCACACACACCAGGGGGGACCGGGCAGCAGGCCGGGCCGACGGGCCCCGCCUCUGGUGGGGGGCCGGCCAGACCCAUCACACCUCUAGCAACUCCAUCCUCAGGCGAUCCCUAGACACACACACACACACACACACACACACACACACACACACACGCACACACACACACACACACACACACACAC
ensembl:lncRNA